rnacentral:lncRNA from 1 species
UCAUUAGAAAAAUAACAAAUUAGUUUCUGACAUGUGCUUUUAAUUGGAAUAAUGGAUUAUAAAUAAUAGUUCAUGACCUCUUUACCAACACCCUCCCCACUAAUAAAAUCAAAUAACACUUGGAAGAGUGUGUACUUUUAGUUGGGGUUCCUUGAUCUUGGAGGACGUUUAAAAGUUAAAAGUCAAAUACGGUAACCAAAGGACUGCUUUAUGGGGUCUUCUACCUUACCAACUUUUCCUCAAAUACCUACUUGGACAAGUACAGCACUUGGUAUGUGGUAGGACUCAGAAAAAAAAAUGGAUUUUAAAAAGUAACCCUGAGUAGUCAAAAAUAC